UACAGCUAUAUCACGUUGAAACACCAGUUCUCGUGCGAUUACCGAAGUUAAGCAGCAUCAAGCCUGGUCAAUACCUAGAUGGGUGACCGCUUGGAAAUACCAGGUGCUGUAA